UGGCAUACACAAGAUGCAAUAAGGCAAA
rnacentral:piRNA from 1 species